GAGGGAACUCAGGAAGGAGACAAGGAAUGCCUGCCAUCUAGCAGCCAUCAGACUGCAGCCACCCCAAGCUGGGGCAUCCUGAGGAAGCGCAGAAUGAGAAAACACAGGGUACUAGCCUGGAGAGCUGAACUGCAUAUCGAAGGAAAGAUUUCAAUUCUUCCCUUUGGCUCCCUCCUGCUCUCUCACUUCCCAGUGGCUGCUGACUGAGCCUGGAUUGUGGACUAGAAAGGGAAGGCUGCCAGGUUCCUCUGUCUAUGGGGAUUCUUCAAGCAAGAAUACUGGAGUGGACUGCCAUGCCCAACAAAAGCUGGCAUCGAGUGGACAGAAAAUGCAGGAUCUUGCAUUGUGGGGCUAGGUGCCAGUGCAGACAAAUGAUCAUCACAUAGGGAACAAGUUGUUCUAUGUACUUCAAGUAACUUCUCUCAUUCCAGUGAAUAAAGCAAAAAAAAAAUCAAGCUAGCACAGAGUGUAUCUAGAGACAAACAACUGAGUGGCAGUGCCAGAAGUAGAAACUGCACAAUGAAGCAAUGACAAUGUCAAAAAAGUGCCCAUCGCAUGGAUACCAUGCUGUACAACCAUUCAGAAAUUAUUAGGAGGAUCACAUGGUUUUCUAGCCAAACAUUUGCAAGUCUCUGUCACAUGUGAAAUUUUUAUAAAGACUGGUCUUGUUAUGAAACCCUUGGAGACGGGGUCUCUGUACAGAGAAAAUAAGACUGAAGGAUGACCUUCGCAUCCCCGUGGAGACUUCUUGGUUCCAGGCCAGAUCUGCAUGCGGACCUGAGCACGCUGGCUGCCCCAUAGCUCCCGCAGUCCUACAGGGGCUUCUGUCCCUAGGCUGUUUACCAGCAGCACCACAUCCCUCAUCCUGUCCACGCAGUUCUAUGGAAACUUUACGGUAUGUGUAAGUAUUUUAUUUAUU
rnacentral:lncRNA from 1 species